rnacentral:tRNA from 1 species
GGGCAUGUAGCUUAGCAACAGAGUUCUUGCCUGGCACGCAUGAGGCUCUGGGUUCAAUCCCCAGUAUGGCAA